rnacentral:rRNA from 1 species
UAUUCUAGUAUAGUUAGAUCUUCGGUCAGAGUGAAUACUGCAGGCAGGCCUAUCACAUGCAAGUCGAGCGGCAGCACGAGGAGUUGUACUUGCUGGCGAGCGGGCGGGACGGGUGACUAAUUCGUAAGAAUCUGCUUGGUAGUGGGGGGAUAACGUUUGGAAACGGACGCUAAUUCCAGCAUACGUCUUCAAAAGAAAGCAGGGGACCGUCGGGCCUUGCGUUAUCAGAUGAGCUUAGCUCGGGAUUAGUUAGUGAGUGAGGUAAUGGCUCACCAAGGCGACGAUCGGUAACGGGUGAGAGAGGAUGAUCACUCACACUGGAAGAGAGGCACCGUACUGAUUCCUGCGGGAGCCAGCAGUGGUGAAUAUUGGACAAUGGGCGAAAGCCUGAUCCACCCAUGCCGCGUGUGUGAAAAAGGUCUUCGGAAAGUAAAGCACUUUAAGUUGGGAGGAAGGGCAGUUACAUAAUACGGAAUCGUUUUGAGUUCACCAACAGAAUAACCCCCGGAAAACUGUGCCCCCGCAGCCGGGGUAAUACAGGGGGCACAAGUUUUAAUGAAAAUUAGGGGGUAAAAGGGGCGCGGGGGUUUUUUUUUAUUUGGAUGUAAAUCCCCGGGCUCAACCGGGAAGUCCAUUCAAAACGUGAAGUUAGAGUAUAUAGAGGGGGGGUGGAUUUUCCUGGUAGCGGUUAAAAGGGUUGGAAUAGGAGGAAACCCCGGGGGAAGGGGACCCACUGUACUUAUAGUCCAGUGGGGGGAAAGGUGGAAGGAAACCCA